AGCAGAGGACUGAAAAUCCUCGUGUCA
rnacentral:tRNA from 1 species